rnacentral:rRNA from 1 species
GACGAACGCUGGCGGCGUGCCUAACACAUGCAAGUCGAGCGAAGUUUUUCUGGUGCUUGCACUAGAAAAACUUAGCGGCGAACGGGUGAGUAACACGUAAAGAACCUGCCUCAUAGACUGGGACAACUAUUGGAAACGAUAGCUAAUACCGGAUAACAGUAUUUCUCGCAUGAGAGAUAUUUAAAAGUUGGUUAUGCUAACACUAUGAGAUGGCUUUGCGGUGCAUUAGCUAGUUGGUGGGGUAAAGGCCCACCAAGGCGACGAUGCAUAGCCGACCUGAGAGGGUGAUCGGCCACACUGGGACUGAGACACGGCCCAGACUCCUACGGGAGGCAGCAGUAGGGAAUCUUCCGCAAUGGGCGAAAGCCUGACGGAGCAACGCCGCGUGAGUGAAGAAGGAUUUCGGUUCGUAAAACUCUGUUGUUAGGGAAGAAUGGAUAUGUAGUAACUAUACAUGUAAGAGACGGUACCUAACCAGAAAGCCACGGCUAACUACGUG